GAGGAAAAACGAGAAUUCGAGAUAUUUUGGAAAAAUUUAGGUGCUUUCUAUUGAAAUUUCUCAUUGGAUGGCUUUGAGGUUAAGGAUUAAUCAUCUGGGCACGAGUUAAACUAGAAAUUGAAGCUGGAAAACGAAGAGAAAAAGGGAAUUUCAAAUUGUUUUGAGUUUGGCUGACCGAAGAAGAGGAAAAAAGUUGUUUUCGAAUUAGGGUCAUUCUUGUGAAGGAAAUUGGGUAAAAUCAAAGAAACUUAAAGAGGAAGUAAAGAAUAAGCUCUUGGGAGGCUUUAUUUGAAGAAAUUUGGCCGACGAAGUAAGGAAAAUGAAGAAAAACAGUGGCGCUAGAGUUAUCGAAAAAAUAGAGGAUGCUCGGAUUUUUAGCAAAUUCGUGGAGUUAGAGGCUAAUUCGAAGCUCCAAAUUUAAAGGGGUACCGUGGAGAGUUUGGUAGAUUCCGGGAGUUCUAGGCCAAUUCGGACGUCCAAACUUUGAGGAUAAACGGAAGAUGGAGAAACCGAAAUUAUGAGGAGGAGCCGAUUAACUGUGAGUG